AGAAACAACUGACUGACCCCCUGGGCUGUCCAAAAGCCAAGUUUUAAGCACUAUUGGUACAUGUGAGACACAGGAAGUGACAUAAAGAAUUGCCUUUAUAUUUUGCAUCACUUCCUGUGAGAGGGCUGGGUGGUGAAACUUGACUGUGAAGGAGCUUGAGUGUGAGACCUUAGACUGCUUCCCUUAGAUUGUCAUGUGGUGGACCCACCCCUAGCUUUUCACUACUAACUACUAAUGAAAUUAAAGUUAAUUCGAAAGAGUCAUAGAACCAGACACUUUUCUUUCAGAAAGGAUGGGAUCUGCCACCCAUCAUUGGAUUAUAAGUCAUUUGGGGCACUCUGCUGAAAGGACAUUACCAAUAAACUAAAAUACUUCCCCAACCUAUCAUUUCAACUAAGAAUUCAUGGACAUAUCAAUGUGGCAGUGUAUUCUCAAGCUUUCUUCCCUACGAAUAUGCAGAAAUUUUACUGGGUAUACACAUCCCUAUAUGUCUAUUCUGCAUUGGAUCCAAUAUAAUUUGAAUUAACUUGAUCAAACAAAACUCUUUCUUCUAAAGUCAUUGAAGUCCAGUGUCAAGAAAAAAGCCAGGAUGACUAGAGAUGGCUAAGGAUGCAGUGGAUGAUCUUGGCUUCUUUGAUGUGUAACCAAGUCUUCAUAUGCUUGUAGCAGAACUAGUUCACUGAAGGACUUGAGUAUUGUUGGUUAACCUCAACCUGGUUUAUCCUGUCUUCUGAAAUGUUUUUUUACUGGGAUGUGGCCACUACAAGAUGCUACUGCUUCUUCAACCCACAGGAGAUCAUCUUUCACAUCCAAUUUCCCUUCUUUGUGCUAUUGGAAACUGUGGCCUAACUCCAGAGAAGAGGGCAUGAGUGAUCUAAGAUAUCAGAUGCAGAAGAGGAACCUAGACAUGGUUCUAGAUCCAAAGGAACAUGGAACAUAG
rnacentral:lncRNA from 1 species